rnacentral:rRNA from 1 species
CGGCCGCGUCGACAUCUGCCCUGUACUUUGGGAUAAGCCUGGGAAACUGGGUCUAAUACCGAAUAUGACCACUUCUUGGAUGGGGUGGUGGAAAGCUUUUGCGGUAUGGGAUGAGCUCGCGGCCUAUCAGCUUGUUGGUGGGGUAAUGGCCUACCAAGGCGUCGACGGGUAGUCGGCCUGAGAGGGUGUACGGCCACAUUGGGACUGAGAUACGGCCCAGACUCCUACGGGAGCAGCAGC